GGGGAUGUAGCUCAGCUGGAAGAGCAGCGGUCUCCAAAACCGCAGGCCGCAGGUUCGAACCCUGUCAGCCCCGCCA
rnacentral:tRNA from 1 species